rfam:Ailuropoda melanoleuca scaffold727_27, whole genome shotgun sequence.
GUCUACGGCCAUAAGACCCUGAACGAGCCCAAUCUCAUCUGAUCUCGGAAGCUAAGUAGGGUCGGGGCUGGUUAGUACUAGGAUAGGAUGUGUAGACU